CAAUAGCGUAUAUUAAAGUUGUUGCAGUUAAAAAGCUCGUAGUUGGAUUUCUGGUUGAAGCGACCGGUCGGGCGUUGAUUCGUCUGCACUGGAGUCGGUUUUGGCCAUCCUCUAGGAAAGUGCGUCUGGUAUUAAGUUAUCGGGCGUAUGAUCCUGGUCUUUUACUGUGAAAAAAUUAGAGUGUUUAAAGCAGGCCUUCGCCUUGAAUACAUUAGCAUGGAAUAAUAAGAUAGGACUUUGGUCUAUUUUGUUGGUUUGCAGACCGAAGUAUGAUUAAUAGGGAUAGUUGGGGGUAUUUAUAUUCCGAUGUCAGAGGUGAAAUUCUUAGAUUUUCGGAAGAUAAACUUAUGCGAAAGCAUUUACCAAGGAUGUUUUCAUUAA
rnacentral:rRNA from 1 species